rnacentral:piRNA from 1 species
UGCAACACAGGGUUUGCCUAAUGCCAUGC